rnacentral:tRNA from 1 species
CGGUGUGUAGCGCAGCUUGGUAGCGCACUGUCAUGGGGUGUCAGGGGUCGUAGGUUCAAAUCCUAUCACACCGA